rnacentral:rRNA from 1 species
UAGGGAAUCUUCGGCAAUGGGGGGAACCCUGACCGAGCAACGCCGCGUGAGUGAAGAAGGUUUUCGGAUCGUAAAGCUCUGUUGUUAAGGAAGAACGAGUGUGAGAAUGGAAAGUUCAUGCUGUGACGGUACUUAACCAGAAAGGGACGGCUAACUACGUGCCAGCAGCCGCGGUAAUACGUAGGUCCCGAGCGUUGUCCGGAUUUAUUGGGCGUAAAGCGAGCGCAGGCGGUUAGAUAAGUCUGAAGUUAAAGGCAGUGGCUCAACCAUUGUAGGCUUUGGAAACUGUUUAACUUGAGUGCAGAAGGGGAGAGUGGAAUUCCAUGUGUAGCGGUGAAAUGCGUAGAUAUAUGGAGGAACACCGGUGGCGAAAGCGGCUCUCUGGUCUGUAACUGACGCUGAGGCUCGAAAGCGUGGGGAGCGAAUAGG